rnacentral:rRNA from 1 species
CACGUAGGGGCCAAGCGUUGUCCGGAUUUAUUGGGCGUAAAGAGCUCGUAGGCGGUUCAGUCAGUUGGGUGUGAAAACUCCGGGCUUAACUCGGAGAGGCCACCCAAUACUGCUGUGACUUGAGUCCGGUAGGGGAGUGGGGAAUUCCUGGUGUAGCGGUGAAAUGCGCAGAUAUCAGGAGGAACACCGGUGGCGAAGGCGCCACUCUGGGCCGGUACUGACGCUGAGGAGC